rnacentral:rRNA from 1 species
ACGUAGGGUGCAGGCGUUAAUCGGAAUUACUGGGCGUAAAGCGUGCGCAGGCGGUUUGCUAAGACAGAUGUGAAAUCCCCGGGCUUAACUUGGGAACUGCGUUUGUAACUGGCAAGCUAGAGUGUGGCAGAGGGGGGUGGAAUUCCAAGUGUAGCAGUGAAAUGCGUAGAUAUUUGGAGGAACACCGAUGGCGAAGGCAGCCCCCUGGGCUAACGCUGACGCUCAUGCACGAAAGCGUGGGGAGCAAACAGGA